UAGUAGGUGGAGCGCAGCACAGCAUAAGACCAACAGACGUCCUAAUAAUAUGUAGUCUGCUGACACUGCAUGCCUGUAAACAGCAGAGAUGAAGGAGCUAUGGAUUAUGGCUGUCUUUGCUACAGUCUCUUUAUCACAGGGGAAUCUCACGACAUCCUCUGCCAUUCCAACCACCAUUGACAUAACUACCCCAACUACUACUGCUCCUAUAACCCCUGACCCUCCAACUACUACUGCUCCUAUAACCCCUGACCCUCCAACUACUACUGCCCCUAUAACCCCUGACCCUCCAACUACUACUGCCCCUAUAACCCCUGACCCUCCAACUACUACUGCCCCUAUAACCCCUGACCCUCCAACUACUACUGCUCCUAUAACCCCGGUCACUCCAACUACUACUGCCCCUAUAACCCCUGACACUCCAACUACUACUGCCCCUAUAACCCCUGACACUCCAACUACUACUGCCCCUAUAACCCCUGACACUCCAACUACUACUGCCCCUAUAACCCCUGACACUCCAACUACUACUGCCCCUAUAACCCCUGACCCUCCAACUACUACUGCCCCUAUAACCCCUGACACUCCAACUACUACUGCCCCUAUAACCCUUAACACUCCAACUACUACUGCCCCUAUAACCCCUGACACUCCAACUACUACUGCCCCUAUAACCCCUGACCCUCCAACUACUACUGCUCCUAUAACCCCUGACACUCCAACUACUACUGCUCCUAUAACCCCUGACACUCCAACUACUACUGCUCCUAUAACCCCUGACCCUCCAACUACUACUGCCCCUAUAACCCCUGACCCUCCAACUACUACUGCUCCUAUAACCCCUGACCCUCCAACUACUACUGCCCCUAUAACGCCUGACACUCCAACUACUACUGCUCCUAUAACCCCUGACACUCCAACUACUACUGCCCCUAUAACCCCUGACACUCCAACUACUACUGCCCCUAUAACCCCCGACACUCCAACUACUACUGCCCUUAUAACCCCUGACACUCCAACUACUACUGCCCCUAUAACCCCUGACACUCCAACUACUACUGCUCCUAUAACCCUUAACACUCCAACUACUACUGCCUCUAUAACCCCUGACCCUCCAACUACUAUUGCUCCUAUAACCCCUGACACUCCAACUACUACUGCCCCUAUAACCACCGACACUCCAACUACUACUGCCCCUAUAACCCCUGACCCUCCAACUACUACUGCCCCUAUAACCCCCGACACUCCAACUACUACUGUCCCUAUAACCCCUGACACUCCAACUACUACUGCUCCUAUAACCCUUAACACUCCAACUACUACUGCCUCUAUAACCCCUGACACUCCAACUACUACUGCCCCUAUAACCCCUGACCCUCCAACUACUACUGCUCCUAUAACCCCUGACACUCCAACUACUACUGCCCCUAUAACCCCCGACACUCCAACUACUACUGCCCCUAUAACCCCUGACCCUCCAACUACUACUGCCUCUAUAACCCCUGACACUCCAACUACUACUGCCUCUAUAACCCCUGACCCUCCAACUACUACUGCCCCUAUAACCCCUGACCCUCCAACUACUACUGCUCCUAUAACCCCUGACACUCCAACUACUACUGCCCCUAUAACCCCUGACCCUCCAACUACUACUGCCCCUAUAACC
rnacentral:lncRNA from 1 species